UUUGUUAUAGAGAGGAUGUUCUGGUCCUAUUUCAUAAUGAUUACUCUUACCCUCCCCCUACCAGAACUACUAGGAAAUUCUGGAUUCCACAAAAGGUAUGUGUGUGUGUUGGGGGGGGGGGGGUGUGGAGGGGGGGUGGUGCUGAGACUAUAGCCUCCACUCUCAAGCUAGUCUACACUAAGUCUCUAACAAUUCAUCAAAAUUACCACUAAAGUGUUCCUACAGGCUUGUGGCUUCAGCAUUUUCUGUUCCAGAUAUUCCCAGGAGUGUUGGAAGGAGAAUGUGCCAGCUAAAAAUAUCCCAUGAAUCUGAGGGAGAAAUUCACAAAACUGUAUGGAUCAUGAUCUUUGACAAACAUUUCGGUGCCUUUUGUUCUCUCACACCCAAACUCUGGUCCAGGAAAAAUAAAAUAAGAUAAAAUAAAAUGUCUUCAGAUAGUCAUAUGUGUC